CGAAGAUCGGAGGUUAAACUCCUCCCUAGCGCC
rnacentral:tRNA from 1 species